rnacentral:snRNA from 1 species
AUACUUACCUGGCAGGGGAGAUACCAUGAUCACAAAGGUGGUUUUCCCAGGGUGAGGCUCAACCAUUGCAUUCUGGAUGUGCUGUCCCCUGCCAUAAAAAAAUAUUAGAAAAUAAUAAUUAAAAAAUUUUUUAAC